GAUAGUAUUGGCCAUUCUUGAGAAAAGAAGGUAAAAAACAGACAGCUGGGGUGUGACUAGGCCAGUAUAAUGUUUAAGGUUAGUAAUGAUAUCCUUUAACAGAAGAGGGAAGCUCCCUUUUACUUCCAGUUUGCUAAGAAUUUUUAUCAUAAGUGGAAUUUUAUCAUAUAUUUUUUCUGCAUGUAUUUUAAAUUAUUAUUUUUUAUUGUAGUAACAUAUAUGUCUCCAGAACUUUUUCCUCUUCCCCAACUGGAAGUCUGUAUCCAUUAAACACUGCCUAUCCCUCCUCCCCUCCAACCCUGGCAACCACCAUUCUACUUUCUCUAUGAAAUUGACUACUCUAUAUAACUUACAUAAGUAAAAUCAUACAGUAUUUGUUGUUUUGUGACUGGCUUAUUUCAUUUAGCAUAAUAUCCUCAAAGUUCAUCCAUUUUGUGGUAUGUGUCAGAAUUUCCUUCCUUUUUAAGCCUGAAUAAUAUUUCAUUAUUAAUGUGUGCAUACCACAUUUUAUUUAUUCAUUUGUUGAUGGAUACUUAGGUUGCUUCCACUGUUUGGCUAUUGUGAAUAAUGCUGCUAUGAAUAUAUCUUUUUGAGAUUCUGCUUUCAUUUAUUUUGGGCGUAUACCCAGAAGUGGUUCGUCCAUUGAUUUUUGAACACUAAACUAAUUUUUCAUUCCUGGAAUAAACCCAAACUUGUCACAAUGUAAUCAUCCUUUUUGGGUUUCU